rnacentral:rRNA from 1 species
AUUGAACGCUGGCGGCAGGCCUAACACAUGCAAGUCGAGCGGAUGAAGGGAGCUUGCUCCUGGAUUCAGCGGCGGACGGGUAAGGAAUGCCUAGGAAUCUGCCUGGGAGUGGGGGAUAACGUCCAGAAACGGGCGCUAAUACCGCAUACGUCCUGAGGGAGAAAGUGGGGGAUCUUCGGACCUCACGCUAUCAGAUGAGCCUAGGUCGGAUUAGCUAGUUGGUGGGGUAAAGGCCUACCAAGGCGACGAUCCGUAACUGGUCUGAGAGGAUGAUCAGUCACACUGGAACUGAGACACGGUCCAGACUCCUACGGGAGGCAGCAGUGGGGAAUAUUGGACAAUGGGCGAAAGCCUGAUCCAGCCAUGCCGCGUGUGUGAAGAAGGUCUUCGGAUUGUAAAGCACUUUAAGUUGGGAGGAAGGGCAGUAAGUUAAUACCUUGCUGUUUUGACGUUACCAACAGAAUAAGCACCGGCUAACUUCGUG